rnacentral:rRNA from 1 species
GAUGAACGCUGGCGGCGUGCCUAAUACAUGCAAGUCGAGCGAACAGACGAGGAGCUUGCUCCUCUGACGUUAGCGGCGGACGGGUGAGUAACACGUGGAUAACCUACCUAUAAGACUGGGAUAACUUCGGGAAACCGGAGCUAAUACCGGAUAAUAUAUUGAACCGCAUGGUUCAAUAGUGAAAGACGGUUUUGCUGUCACUUAUAGAUGGAUCCGCGCCGCAUUAGCUAGUUGGUAAGGUAACGGCUUACCAAGGCAACGAUGCGUAGCCGACCUGAGAGGGUGAUCGGCCACACUGGAACUGAGACGCGGUCCAGACUCCUACGGGAGGCAGCAGUAGGGAAUCUUGCGCAAUGGGCGAAAGCCUGACGGAGCAACGCCGCGUGAGUGAUGAAGGUCUUCGGAUCGUAAAACUCUGUUAUUAGGGAAGAACAAAUGUGUAAGUAACUAUGCACGUCUUGACGGUACCUAAUCAGAAAGCCACGGCUAACUACGUG